UGGGGAAUAUUGCACAAUGGGCGAAAGCCUGAUGCAGCAACGCCGCGUGAGGGACGACGGCCUUCGGGUUGUAAACCUCUUUUAGCAAGGAAGAAGCGAAAGUGACGGUACUUGCAGAAAAAGCGCCGGCUAACUACGUGCCAGCAGCCGCGGUAAUACGUAGGGCGCAAGCGUUAUCCGGAAUUAUUGGGCGUAAAGAGCUCGUAGGCGGUUUGUCGCGUCUGCUGUGAAAACCCGAGGCUCAACCUCGGGCCUGCAGUGGGUACGGGCAGACUAGAGUGCGGUAGGGGAGAUUGGAACUCCUGGUGUAGCGGUGGAAUGCGCAGAUAUCAGGAAGAACACCGAUGGCGAAGGCAGAUCUCUGGGCCGUAACUGACGCUGAGGAGCGAAAGGGUGGGGAGCAAACAGGCUUAGAUACCCUGGUAGUCCACCCCGUAAACGUUGGGAACUAGUUGUGGGUCCAUUCCACGGAUUCCGUGACGCAGCUAACGCAUUAAGUUCCCCGCCUGGGGAGUACGGCCGCAAGGCUAAACUCAAAUGAAUUGACGGGGUCAUAGCUGUUUCCU
rnacentral:rRNA from 1 species